CUGACUACUGUGCUAGGGUGGAUAUUGGCCUUGAUGAGCCAGCCCUCCUCGUUGAAAAUGAAGAAGUUAGCGAGGAAGAACGCAUAACUGUCAG
rnacentral:ncRNA from 1 species